rnacentral:RNase_P_RNA from 1 species
GAAGCACGCCAGACUGCCGCUGGUGCAAGGGUGGAAACACCGCACUGGAGGAAGGUCCGGACUGCAAAGGGCGGCGUAGCAGCUAACCGCUGUCCACCGUGAGGUGAGGAUCAGAGCUACAGAGACGAGUCGGACCGGGGCAACCCGGGACGGGUGAAACGAGCAAUCUCUACGCGCAGCAAUACCAAGUAGGCACACGUUGACGGGGCCCCCGGAGUGUGCGGGUAGGUAGCACCGAGCCGUCUGGCGACAGGCGGCCCAGAUUAAUGGCAGUCACGGGGCGGCAACCGCAAGGAAGCCGCCCUGCACAAAAUCCGGCCUAUCGGCGGGCUUCACAC